AUUGAACGCUGGCGGCAUGCUUUACACAUGCAAGUCGAACGGUAACAGGCCUUCGGGUGCUGACGAGUGGCGGACGGGUGAGUAAUGCAUCGGAACGUGCCCAGAGGUGGGGGAUAACGCAGCGAAAGCUGUUCUAAUACCGCAUGUGAUCUGAGGAUGAAAGCGUGUGACCAGGCAGCAAUGUUUGGCCUCGCGCCUUUGGAGCGGCCGAUUUCAGAUUAGGUAGAUGGUGGGGUAAAGGCCUACCAAGCCGACGAUCUGUAGCUGGUCUUAGAGGACGAUCAGCCACACUGUGACUGGGACACGGCGCAGACUCCUACGGGAGGCAGCAGUCGGGAAUUUUGGACAAUGGGCGGAAGCCUGAUCCAGCAAUGCCGCGUGCGGGAAGAAGGGCUUCGGGUUGUAAACCGCUUUUGUACGGAACGAAAAGGGUCUUGCUAAUACCUGGGGAUGAUGACGGUACCGUAAGAAGAAGCACCGGCUAACUACGUG
rnacentral:rRNA from 1 species